GGAAGCGUAUCGAAGUGGUCAUAACGAGGCGGUCUUGAAAACCGUUUGGGUGCAAGCCCACAGGGGUUCGAAUCCCUUCGCUUCCGCCA
rnacentral:tRNA from 2 species